rnacentral:pre_miRNA from 1 species
UCGUGUCGUUGACCAAGUGGAUACACCUUUGAUCUGAAGUGUCAAUGCUACAUAGGUUACUAGCAGCAGCGAAGGGUAUUUAGGUUAUUGAAAUAUCAUCAAAAAUAAACUUUGUCAACAAAACACCAAAGUCUCUUAAGAGUUUCACAUUAGAAUGAUACAUUAAGAUUAUGUAGCACCAACACUUCAGAUUGAUGGUGUGUCUGGUAUCCGACACGU